UGUGAUCAGCCUGCUGGGGCCCCAGCCCUGUGCCCUGGGCACACCCACUGCAGCCCCAGUGGGUGGGGGGCUCCCGGUCUCACCCUGGGGACACGGGGACGUCGGCUGUGGGUCCCCUGAGCUCAUCGGGGCAUCGGGGAACCCUUCAGGGGCAGAGAGGCUGUGUUGUGCCUUUCUUCUCCUUGCAUGGCCGGGCUUUGCCAGCCUUGUUGUCAUCUGAGUAGCGAUUCCGGUCUCUCCAUUAACGUCUGCAGUGAGCAGAGACAGAGGGGCAUGCAUUUUUGGCAGCUGCUGAGACCGGGAACCUGCAGGACGCCCCUUCCAUCGUCUGCCGAGCCAAUUAGCCAGUCUGCGAAAGCAGCAGGAGCGUCUUGUGUUGUGACAGCGGUGGAAAGGCACCGAAGCCAAACAGCGCGGGCCUCCGUAAGCCGCCUCUCCUGCCGCACUGAACUGAAAAGAGCAGUGCUGGAAAUCACCCAGGCUGAGCCCUGCUGUGACGGGGAGGGACGGGUGGCAGCCGAGGACCUCACGGACACCACGGACCCUCCUGGCUGCCCCUGCUGCCCACCCUGCUCAUGCUGCAGGGCCAAGGAAAUGGUGGGCAAGAGGAUCCAGCCUCCCCAGGGCUCCCCAAGGCAGGCAGCAGCAGGUCCAGUGACGUGGGAUUUCCCUGACGGCACACCCAGGGGUGCUCCUCUAUACUUCUAUUCUCUAGAAAUAAGAAAGACCACGAAGAAGAAAGCUGGAAAUCCUGCAGACACCUAAAAUGAAAUGCAGGAUUCGAAAGGGCCCUGGCAGAGCAGGCACUGAGGUCCUUAUCAUCCAUCUGAGCUAUGAAGUACUUGGUACACUCGGAGGUGCAGGUUACAAGAGCAUCAGCCGUGACGAAGGAAGGGGAUGGAGGUGCAAGGACCCCCCCAGAUGCGUUGCCAUUGACCUGGACCUGCCUGCAAGCCACGGCUCGGACCUCUACUGGCUGUGGAUCCCUACCUGUAAAUCAGAGAACAAAGGGCAGCCCUCCCUUGCUCUUCUCCAAGCUCUUGCCUCAUCAUGGCUCUGGCGUUCCUCCUUUUCUAUCCCCAGACAUUGUCUCUUUUCUCAUCUUUCCGUUGUGCACUGUCACACCGACAAUAGGGACAGCCACCAGCCUCGCCGUCGUUGUAACACAACGUCGCUCAGCGGGGCCCUGUGCCGGCGCUGAUACCGUAGCCAUGCAACCCGUGUUUGUGUUUCAGGGAUUGUGUUUGCUUUAUUUCCCUGGAUUAAAAAGCGGUAAGAAAACAGCCUCACCAAGAAGAGUUCGAGCAGUUAAUUAGUUUCAACAUUGAAAGGGCCGCUGCCCAGCAGCUAAAAAAUCAUCGUGUUUGAAUGGUGAAUUAAGUCAGCCAGCCAAUAAAUCUGAGCAACAAAACAGUCCCUUUAGCCCAGAGGAGCUCUCUUUCCUCAAAACACUGAUAAAUGGCUUUUUCUCAGAGCCCACAAGGUCAUCAAAUUAAUAAAGCAUUUCAAGUAAUGUACGGAAGCGAAGUGACACCCUGUUGCAAGAGAUUUGCUGUUGAAACCGACUCUCUAUAACAGAGUGUGAUGCAU